GACGAACCGUACAACCGUUAUUCGGAAUCACUGGGCUUAAAGGGUGCGUAGGCGGCGCUGAAAGUAGGGUGUGAAAUCCCUCGGCUCAACCGAGGAACUGCGCUCUAAACUACAGUGCUCGAGGGAGACAGAGGUGAGCGGAACUUAGGGUGGAGCGGUGAAAUGCGUUGAUAUCCUAAGGAACACCCGUGGCGAAAGCGGCUCACUGGGUCUCUUCUGACGCUGAGGCACGAAAGCCAGGGUAGCGAACGGG
rnacentral:rRNA from 1 species